UGAGCCAAGUUUAGGGUUUUCUCAAAACCCAAGCAGUAUUGAACUGAAGAGUUUGAUCAUGGCUCAGAUUGAACGCUGGCGGCAGGCCUAACACAUGCAAGUCGAGCGGAUGAAGGGAGCUUGCUCCUGGAUUCAGCGGCGGACGGGUGAGUAAUGCCUAGGAAUCUGCCUGGUAGUGGGGGAUAACGUCCGGAAACGGGCGCUAAUACCGC
rnacentral:rRNA from 1 species